GCCCGGGUGGCGGAAUCGGAAGACGCGCUGGUUUUAGGGACCAGUGGGCUUUAUGCCCUUGAGGGUUCGACUCCCUCCCCGGGCA
rnacentral:tRNA from 1 species